ACAGGGUCUGGCUGUUUUGCCCAGAAUGGAGUGCAGUGGCGUGAUGGUCUCGGCUGACAGCAGCCUCGACCUCCUGGGCUCAAGCCUUGGCCUCCCAAAGUGCUGGGAUUACAGCCCCACCUGCAGAGUCAAGUCCCUCCUCCCACCUCAGCACUGCUAGAAAAGAGCUUCAGGAUGGAGCCACACAUGUCACUCAAGCCCAAGGGUCAGUCAACAGCCCACAGCCCUAAAUU
rnacentral:lncRNA from 10 species